GUUUUAUUGAUUAAUAAUACUAAGUCAAAUCUGCUCAAUGAAUUAUUUUAAAUAGCUGCAGUAUAAAUAACUGUACAAAGGUAGCAUAAUAAUUAGUUUUUUAAUUAAAAACUGGAAUGAAUGAUUUUAUGAAAUAUAAACUGUAUCAAAUUUAAUAAAUAAAUUUAUUAUUUAAAUAAAAAAAUUUAAAUAAAAUUUAAAGACGAGAAGACCCUAAAGAAUUUUUAUAAUUAUAAUUAUUUUAUAAUUUUAAUUAUUUUAAUUGGGGAAAUUUUAAAAUUUAAUUAAUUUUUAAUUAAUUUAAACAUUUAUUUUUGAAUAAAUUUUUUUAAAAAAAAAAUUAAAUUACCUUAGGGAUAACAGCAUAAUUUUUUUAAAAAGUUCAAAUUUAUAAAAAAGUUUAU
rnacentral:rRNA from 1 species